GGANNNNNNNNNNNNNNNNNNNNNNNNNUGAUUGCCAAUGAGACAAUUUCUCACAAGAGACUAAAUGACGCAGAAAUUAACAGCCAUAUAUCACCAUACGCUCUUCAACAUAAGCAUAAUAAAAUUGAGAAAGGACAUGGGGAAUGUGUCAAAGAGACAACAUUUCACAUAUUCAGCUAUAAAAGGCCCCGAAAUCACUAGAAGAAAACGAACAGCCUAAUUAAUGUACAAAAUAAUGAACGAAAAACAAGUAAGUAACACAGCAACAAACAAUAACCACUGACUUACAAGCUCCUGACUUGGGACAAGCAUAUAGUUUUUUACAUACAUAAUUUGGCGGGGAUAAACAUGUAAGCCGCGGAUCCCAACCAUCCCCUAACCUAGUACAGUGGUUUAACAGCACAACAGCAUGUUUGUGAGCGCUCAACCCUCCCCGAAGCUGAAACAGUAGCGUAGCAGUACAAUAUAAAAACAACCGGCACAAAUCAGUUGCAAUUAGAUUAACUCAAAAUAUCGGUACAGACAAACACAAAAUAAAACCAGCAAACUAGAAUUAAGACAAUAGAGUAUUGAACUAAGAGUAUUUGCAAUUACUGGUAAUGUGUUCAAAACUAAUUGCAACAAGUACUGAGAUAAAUCUUGUUCUCCCAGAAUGAAGUAUCAAUCAGUACACAACCAACUGGUCCUUUUUCGUUGUCUAUAGUCCCUAGUGUAAACAGUGUAUAACUUACAUGUUUUAUUUGAUACACUUUCCCAAUUUAUUUCUUGAUAUCAAAU
rnacentral:lncRNA from 1 species